GACGUAGGGCGCGAGCGUUGUCCGGAUUUAUUGGGCGUAAAGAGCUCGUAGGCGGCUUGUCGCGUCGUCCGUGAAAACCCACAGCUCAACUGUGGGCUUGCGGUCGAUACGGGCAGGCUAGAGUUCGGUAGGGGAGACUGGAAUUCCUGGUGUAGCGGUGAAAUGCGCAGAUAUCAGGAGGAACACCGAUGGCGAAGGCAGUGGUCUGGGCCGAUACUGACGCUGAGGAGCGAAAGCGUGGGGGAGCGAACAGG
rnacentral:rRNA from 1 species